GAGAGGAGUCCAAAUGGGAACUAUUAACAAAGGCACGCGCACGGUUUUAUCUCCAUCAGAAAGUGCUUUGGCGGUCUCUGGCCCAGACCCUGUACUGCACUGCACUGCACUGUACUGCACUGUACUGCACUGUGGCUGCUAAGGUUAAUGAGUAAAAAAAAGAAAAAAAAGAAAAAGUGGUGAACCUUAAUGAAGAAGAGAAUCAAGCAGACUAUGCCACAACAGGUUAAAAGGCUCUCUCUGCUCUGCAGACUUGCAGCAAGAUUCCCCACAUCCACUCCCAGGAACCAACCAGCUUCCUGACAGGAUGCAAUGAAGCUGCUGAAGUUUACAAAAGGAGGCCCAUUGCUGUGAUUUAUGCAACCUUCCUUCAUACAUUCAUUUUUUCACCCAUGCUGGAUUAUAGAAGGGAAUAAAAGA